rnacentral:lncRNA from 1 species
CAUAGAUUAUAUCUAUAAUAAAUAUGAGUUCAAAACUCAUCACCUGAGCACAGGUAGCUGAUCACCACAUCAGAAUAUUAUGGUCUUGCUAGUUACUUGCAGCUGCAUAGGGUGUCUGAUCUCUAUGGAUUGUCCACUCGAAGUCCUGUGUUGAUCGAUCUCCCGAGAGUGCUAGCUCGCAUGAAGAUCUUGUUGAUGGC